UGGGCGAUGGAGGGACGCAGGAGGCUAAGGAAUGCACACGAUCGGAAAUCUGUGUCCAAGCAGCAAGUCUGAGAACGAGUGAAAUGCUUUUUCUCUCAAGGACAAGCUGUGAUGGGGAGCGAAAUUUAGUAGCGAAGUUCCUGAUGUCACACUGCCAAGAAAAGCUUCUAGUGAGAAAGUAACUGCCCGUACCGCAAACCGACACAGGUAGUUGAGGAGAGAAUCCUAAGGUGUGCGAGAGAACUCUCGUUAAGGAACUCGGCAAAAUGACCCCGUAACUUCGGGAGAAGGGGUGCUGACCGCAAGGUCAGCCGCAGUGAAUAGGCCCAAGCGACUGUUUAUCAAAAACACAGGUCUCUGCAAAAUCGAAAGAUGACGUAUAGGGGCUGACGCCUGCCCGGUGCUGGAAGGUUAAGAGGAGAGGUUAGCGCAAGCGAAGCUUUGAAUUGAAGCCCCAGUAAACGGCGGCCGUAACUAUAACGGUCCUAAGGUAGCGAAAUUCCUUGUCGGGUAAGUUCCGACCCGCACGAAAGGCGUAACGAUUUGGGCACUGUCUCAACGAGAGACUCGGUGAAAUUAUAGUACCAGUGAAGAUGCUGGUUACCCGCGACAGGACGGAAAGACCCCAUGGAGCUUUACUGCAGUUUGAUAUUGCGUGUUUGUAUCACAUGUACAGGAUAGGUAGGAGCCGAAGAUACCGGGACGCCAGUCUCGGAGGAGGCAACGGUGGGAUACUACCCUUGUGAUAUGACCACUCUAACCCGCUGCUCUUAGCGAGCAGGGAGACAGUGUCAGACGGGCAGUUUGACUGGGGCGGUCGCCUCCAAAAAUGUAACGGAGGCGCCCAAAGGUUCCCUCAGAAUGGUUGGAAAUCAUUCGUAGAGUGUAAAGGCAGAAGGGAGCUUGACUGCGAGACCUACAAGUCGAGCAGGGACGAAAGUCGGGCUUAGUGAUCCGGUGGUUCCGCAUGGAAGGGCCAUCGCUCAACGGAUAAAAGCUACCCUGGGGAUAACAGGCUUAUCUCCCCCAAGAGUUCACAUCGACGGGGAGGUUUGGCACCUCGAUGUCGGCUCAUCGCAUCCUGGGGCUGUAGUCGGUCCCAAGGGUUGGGCUGUUCGCCCAUUAAAGCGGUACGCGAGCUGGGUUCAGAACGUCGUGAGACAGUUCGGUCCCUAUCCGUCGCGGGCGUUGGAAAUUUGAGAGGAGCUGUCCUUAGUACGAGAGGACCGGGAUGGACACACCGCUGGUGUACCAGUUGUUCUGCCAAGAGCAUCGCUGGGUAGCUAUGUGUGGACGGGAUAAACGCUGAAAGCAUCUAAGCGUGAAGCCCCCCUCAAGAUGAGAUUUCCCAUCACUUUAAGUGAGUAAGACCCCUGAGAGAUGAUCAG
rnacentral:rRNA from 1 species